rnacentral:rRNA from 1 species
UACGUAGGGCGCAAGCGUUGUCCGGAAUCAUUGGGCGUAAAGAGCUCGUAAGUGGUCUGUUACGUCUGCUGUGAAAUCCUAGGGCUUAACCCUGGGCCUGCAGUGGAUACGGGCAGACUAGAGGUAGGUAGGGGAGAAUGGAAUUCCCGGUGUAGCGGUGAAAUGCGCAGAUAUCGGGAGGAACACCGGUGGCGAAGGCGGUUCUCUGGGCCUUACCUGACACUGAGGAGCGAAAGCGUGGGGAGCGAACAGG